UACGAAGGGGGCUAGCGUUGUUCGGAAUUACUGGGCGUAAAGGGCGCGUAGGCGGUGCUCUAAGUUAGAUGUGAAAACUCUGGGCUCAACCCAGAGCCUGCAUCUAAAACUGGAGUGCUAGAGUUCUGGAGGGGGUAGCGGAAUUCCUGGUGUAGCGGUGAAAUGCGUAGAUAUCAGGAGGAACACCGAUGGCGAAGGCAGGUCUCUGGGCUGACACUGACGCUCAUGCACGAAAGCGUGGGGAGCAAACAGG
rnacentral:rRNA from 1 species